rnacentral:rRNA from 1 species
CAGCAGCCGCGGGAAUACGUAGGGUCCGAGCGUUGUCCGGAAUUAUUGGGCGUAAAGGGCUCGUAGGCGGUUUGUUGCGUCGGGAGUGAAAACCGGGUGCUUAACACCUGGCUUGCUUUCGAUACGGGCAGACUUGAGGCAUGCAGGGGAGAACGGAAUUCCUGGUGUAGCGGUGAAAUGCGCAGAUAUCAGGAGGAACACCGGUGGCGAAGGCGGUUCUCUGGACAUGUUCUGACGCUGAGGAGCGAAAGUGUGGGGAGCGAACAGGAUUAGAUACCCCUGUAGUCCCUGUCUCUUAUAC